rnacentral:rRNA from 1 species
AGAUCGGGCCGCCUUGGCGGCCGCGGGAAUUCGAUUAAUUUUGGACAAUGGGGGCAACCCUGACGCAGCAACGCCGCGUGCGGGAAGAAGGCCUUCGGGUUGUAAACCGCUUUUGUCAGGGAAGAUAAUGACGGUACCUGAGGAAUAAGCACCGGCUAACUACGUGCCAGCAGCCGCGGUAAUACGUAGGGUGCAAGCGUUAAUCGGAAUUACUGGGCGUAAAGCGUGCGCAGGUGGCUUUGCAAGACAGAUGUGAAAUCCCCGGGCUUAACCUGGGAACUGCGUUUGUGACUGCAUGGCUAGAGUGCGGCAGAGGGGGAUGGAAUUCCGCGUGUAGCAGUGAAAUGCGUAGAUAUGCGGAGGAACACCGAUGGCGAAGGCAAUCCCCUGGGCCUGCACUGACACUCAUGCACGAAAGCGUGGGGAGCAAACAGGAUUAGAUACCCUGGUAGUCCACGCCCUAAACGAUGUCAACUGGUUGUUGGACGGCUUGUGUUCAGUAACGAAGCUAACGCGUGAAGUUGACCGCCUGGGGAGUACGGCCGCAAGGUUGAA